UCAGAGAAAAGAUAGUCUCGGCGAGAGCCUCAGGCCAGCAGACGACAGGGCUGUCAAUGUACUUGUCCCGAGACUCUACCGAGUCUCUUGAUUCAGUGAAGAGAACAAGUGUAAUAGAGGAACCUCGUGCAAAUCACUAAUUGACAGUGUGGCGGACAAGAAACUUUUAUCGAGGUAUCUAGAAUUUGUGUUCUGCAGAAGUAUGUGAGGAUAAUCGAAUUCCUUGCGAGACACAGGAAAAAGGAAGAAAUUCGUAAUUGCAUAUCAAGUUUUCAGCUUCAAAAUGUAUAUUGAGUCGACGCGCUAUUGUGAUCGAGGACCGUGCAAUCUUCAAACUUACUUCUAAUUGGUUAUUGUACGAGCUCGUCCUUACGUGGAUCAGUGUUAGUGGCUGCAUCAUCAGUAUAGAGAUGUUACAUACACGCGCCCAAAAUUACUGCCUACGAAAAUCGAAUGUUGGUGUAGAUUUUAAAGGGAUCGAGAUGUGAGCGUAGAGCCGGAAAACAGAAAAGGUUUCGACACCGUCAAUAUGGACGAGACUAUAUAGAGCUUACAUUAACGAGGAUUUGUUAGCGCCGGUCCUACCAACGAUGCCAAUUUUCUCAUGCGGCUUCAACACGCACGUGCUACAAUUGAAUCACACAAUUAGCAAAGUGUAUUCUAUUUUCGAAAAAAUCUUGUUUAGUAAAUUUAGGUCCAAUAAACAAUGGUACGUCGACCAAAAA